GUACGGAGGAAAAGAAACUAACAAGGAUUCCCCUAGUAGCGGCGAGUGAAGCGGGAAGAGCUCAAAUUUGUAAUCUGGCGUCUUUCAGGCGUCCGAGUUGUAAUCUAUAGAAGUGUUUUCCGUGCUGGACCAUGUCCAAGUCCCUUGGAACAGGGUAUCAAAGAGGGUGACAAUCCCGUACUUGAUAUGGCUACCAGUGCUCUGUGAUACACUUUCUACGAGUCGAGUUGUUUGGGAAUGCAGCUCAAAAUGGGUGGUAAAUUCCAUCUAAAGCUAAAUAUUGGCGAGAGACCGAUAGCGAACAAGUACCGUGAGGGAAAGAUGAAAAGCACUUUGGAAAGAGAGUUAAACAGUACGUGAAAUUGUUGAAAGGGAAACGAUUGAAGUCAGUCGUGUUCAUUGGACUCAGCCGGUUUUCGGUGUACUUCCUUUGAACGGGUCAACAUCAGUUUUGUCCGGUGGAUAAAGGCAGGAAGAAAGUGGCUUGCUUGCAAGUGUUAUAGCUUUCUGUCACAUACACUGGGGGAGACUGAGGACUGCAGCUCGCCUUUUGGCCGGGGUUCGCCCACGUUCGAGCUUAGGAUGUUGACAUAAUGGCUUUAAACGACCCGUCUUAA
rnacentral:rRNA from 1 species